GAGAGAGAGAGAGAGAGGGUGAUAGGUCCAUUCCAAUAGGCAAAGGUUAAAAAAACAUUUCAAUACAAGUUGUAUAAAAUAGAGUACCAUCCAGAGUUCAAAUUUAUGAAAUAUUCUUUACAGAGACACCUCUGAUUCUUAGGUCCAUGAUACAUCUAUAUAUUUGUUAUUGAUGAGCCUAGAUAAGGCCUGGCAUAUGAUCAUUCAUUUAGAGCACCAUAUGGUCUACUGCACUCUACUGCUUACAUCCACAAAAUAUAAUCAUAUUGCUAUGCACAUAAUAAUAUGAUGCAGAUGUACAGACUGCAGCAUCCAUAAAAUAUUUUUAAAAACUGACAAUCUGUUGGAUAUGAUGAUACAGGUUCUAGUUCAUCCAAUCUAUGGAACAGUGCAUGAAACUAACAUUCAAGUGGCUGAACCAGCCACAAACAUGGUACACCCUUAAUGUAGUUCUCGGGGAGAUUUAGCUUGAAACAGAAUGUGACAAGGCUGGCCUUUUGAAUAAUAGGUACUACUCAUUUUUUCCAGCUGAGUGGAUUGGAGAAAUGUGAAAUAAAGUGUCUUCCUCAAGGACACCUUGCGUCGCCAGGAACUGAAGUCAUGACCUUACGAUUGUGAGCCAAGUACCUUAACUACUAAGCCAUGCACCUCCGCUUAGAAUAUAUAUCAGGAUUAAGUAACGAGAGAAAACAAGAGUGAUUAAUCUUGUUAUUUCUUCCUUUACUGGUACUUAAUUAGUGAGCACCAGUGAAAAGUUUUAUUAUAAUUUCUUGACAGCUUGGGUCACUUAGAAUCUUUUAUCUGGUAAAUAUUCUAAGGUUUAUUUAUGUUCUUUUAUUCCUUUCCUAAUUCAGCCAGUUUAUUUUGGCCAUUCUAAAGUAGGGAGGCACUUACUUGGUAUAUUUUGUUUCAUAUUUUCCUAAUUUUUAUCAAUACAUUUGUAAUUAUUCUUUUAGUUUUGUGUAUGUAUGUAUGUCUAUUAGUGGAUGUAAAGGUUCGUGUGUGUGUGUGUGUGUGUGUGUGUGUGUGUGUGUGCUGUUAUUCCUGCUGUUGUCACAACGGUUAUAAUAGUCAAUUCAGAAGUUGUUUUUGAGGUUGUGGUGCUGUUGUUGUUGUUGUUUUUUGCUAUUGCUUUUGUUACUGGGUUGUCACAUGAGUAAACCUUACUCAAGCAGGUUGCACCUUGGCAUAGAGAAGCCCAACCAAAUUACGAAACUAUGUAUGUCUUGGGUUCUUGUUGCCACACUUCAGCCUAGUCUAAUCUGGAACCACCAAUGCUGCAUAUUAAUGGGUAGUAGUGGAUUGACACAAACAGCAGAGAGAUAACAGGCAAAAACAAAACAAAAAUCCUCUACAUAUUGUACCCUUACAUUCUGAGUUCAAAUCUUGCCAAAGUCAACUUUGCCUUUAAUCUGAAACUACAAGCCAAAAAAAUAAGCACAAUUUGAGUACUUGGGCUGAUAUAAUUGACUGCACCCAUCAUCCCUUAUAGGUUGAAACCUUGUGCCUAUCUUAGAAAUCAAUACCACACAUUCUGUUAUUCAGCAGCUGGUUUAAUUGUCAAAAUGGUGAGCUGUGCAGUUUGGCACUCAAGACACAUAAUUUAUGUCUAAAUGGAAAGCCAAUAUCUAAAUGUUUCAGUCACAGAUCAGGUAUCAAAGCCAUCCAUUUCAUUAUGGAAGAUCACUGUUUAAAUUAUUAGAUAUUUUUUCCACUCACAGAAAUAUAAUAUGACUCCAUUUUUGGUUCUUACCAUAUUACUUUUCACCAAUGCAAACCAUCACUUUGGCUUUGUAAAUUCUAGUAAUUUUAUUCUCAUAUUUAUGUGUGUUUAUGUGUGAUAUAUAUAUAUAUGUGUGUGUGAUAAAUAUUUAUGUAUGUAGGUAUGCAUGUAAAUAUAUAUGUUGGUACAUGUAAGUGCAUUUGCAUGUUUAUACAGUACAUGCAUACAUAUAUGUAAGGGUGUAUGUAUACGUGUGUGUGUGUGCGUGCAUGUGUGUGUGAAUAUCAAACUUAAAAUAUGACAAUAAUUAUACUUUAAGAAAAACUAUAAAAAAAUCAAAACAAACAAAAAUAACAAUAACCUAUAAACAUAGGACACACCCUACACUAGCAUCUAAUUUCUGUUCACUGAACAACUUCAUUUUCUUUGACAAACACCUAACUUUCUUCAAGCAAUCACUAUGAUUUUUUUUUUUAGUAAACAUCCAAAUUUUGUUCAGUGAACACUCCAGUUCUAUUUCAUAAAUACUCAUUUUGUUUAUCAGUGAUUGUGUUCAGUAAACAACUUGAAUUUUUUUCCAGUGUACACUGGAAAUUUUUCAAUGGACACACUUAAAUUUUUUUUUUUAGUGGACAGCCUAGAUUUUUUUUUCAGUAAGUACCUAAAUUUUGCUGAGUGAACACUGACUUAAUGUAGAGAACCACCUGCUAUUGUUUAGUGAACAUCCAAGUUCCAUUAAGUGAAUGCCUUUAUUUCAUUCAUUAAUUUUGUUUAGUGAACAUAAUGAUAUUUAAUAAACACCCUGAUACAUUUUAGUGGACAUCCUGAUACAAUUUGAUGAAAAUACUUGUGGCUUUUUUAACUAAGAAUAUCCUAUUUUGUUUAUUGUAUUUUUUUAUGUCAGUGAACAUUCUGGUAUUGUUCAGUGAAAUCUCUGAAUUUUGUUAUGGAAAUAUCCUAAAUAUUGUUUAGUGAACACACACAGAUUUUUCUUCAGUAAACACCCAAAUUUUGUUCAGUGAGCACAGCAGUUAUAAGUUGGGAAGGUAUGAAGGUUGUGAAAACAUGGUGUUGAUAACUGACACUGCUACACAACCAUCCCUCUCCCCCCCCCCCCAUAUAAACAUACAUAUAUAAAAAAAACAAAAGAAAAAUUCUACUUGGAAAGAAUAAUAAUAAUAAUAAUAAUAAUAAUAAUAAUAAUAAUCAUGGUAAUAAUGUUUC
rnacentral:lncRNA from 1 species